rnacentral:lncRNA from 1 species
CAAGAAGUUGAGUUACCUGGGCAACAGGGAAAUACUGAAGAUAUAAUAAGAGACAUACAUACUUCAUUUAGUAGAGAAAUAGCCUGGGCCAGAGCUAAACAAAUCCAUCUUUUUUAUCGGUCUAUUAGCGAAAAUUCCCUUGUCUCUCUCUUCUCUGGCGGAUUCUAAUAAGGGGUGCAAUUCUGCCUUUCGGUCUGUUACUACUUA